CCUACGGGAGGCAGCAGUGGGGAAUAUUGGACAAUGGGCGAAAGCCUGAUCCAGCAAUGCCGCGUGAGUGAUGAAGGCCUUAGGGUUGUAAAGCUCUUUUACCAGGGAUGAUAAUGACAGUACCUGGAGAAUAAGCUCCGGCUAACUCCGUGCCAGCAGCCGCGGUAAUACGGAGGGAGCUAGCGUUGUUCGGAAUUACUGGGCGUAAAGCGUACGUAGGCGGUUAUUCAAGUCAGAGGUGAAAGCCCGGGGCUCAACCCCGGAACGGCCUUUGAAACUAGGUAACUAGAAUCUUGGAGAGGUCAGUGGAAUUCCGAGUGUAGAGGUGAAAUUCGUAGAUAUUCGGAAGAGCACCAGUGGCGAAGGCGACUGACUGGACAAGUAUUGACGCUGAGGUACGAAAGCGUGGGGAGCAAACAGGAUUAGAUACCCUGGUAGUCCACGCCGUAAACGAUGAUAACUAGCUGUCCGGGCACUUGGUGCCUGGGUGGCGCAGCUAACGCAUUAAGUUAUCCGCCUGGGGAGUACGGUCGCAAGAUUAAAACUCAAAGGAAUUGACGG
rnacentral:rRNA from 1 species